rnacentral:rRNA from 1 species
GUUGGGGGGCAGCCUACACAUGCAGUCGAACGGUAACUUUUGGUGCUUGCACCGAAAGACGAGUGGCGAACGGGUGCGUAACGCGUAUGCAAUCUGCCUUUUACUAGGGUAUAGCCCAGAGAAAUUUGGAUUAAUCCCCUAUAAUAUCAUUUUUUCGCAUGAUUAAAUGAUUAAAGCUUCGGCGGUAAAAGAUGAGCAUGCGUCCUAUUAGUUUGUAGGUGAGGUAACGGCUCACCUAGACUACGAUAGGUAGGGGCCCUGAGAGGGGGACCCCCCACACUGGUACUGAGACACGGACCAGACUCCUACGGGAGGCAGCAGUGAGGAAUAUUGGACAAUGGACGAAAGUCUGAUCCAGCUAUGCCGCGUGCAGGAUGACGGCCCUACGGGUUGUAAACUGCUUUUAUACAGGAAGAAACACCCCGACGUGUCGGGGCUUGACGGUACUGUAAGAAUAAGGAUCGGCUAACUCCGUGCCAGCAGCCGCGGUAAUACGGAGGAUUCGAGCGUUAUCCGGAAUCAUUGGGUUUAAAGGGUCCGCAGGCGGUUUUUUAAGUCAGAGGUGAAAUCCUGCAGCUCAACUGUAGAAUUGCCUUUGAUACUGAAAGACUUGAGUUAUUGUGAAGUGGUUAGAAUGUGUGGUGUAGCGGUGAAAUGCAUAGAUAUCACACAGAAUACCGAUUGCGAAGGCAGAUCACUAACAAUAUACUGACGCUCAGGGACGAAAGCGUGGGUAGCGAACAGGAUUAGAUACCCUGGUAGUCCACGCCGUAAACGAUGGAUACUAGCUGUAUGUCUACCUCAG